rnacentral:lncRNA from 1 species
CUCGGAUGAGACGGGAUUCUUUCCAAGCAGGCAGAUCGGGAGGAAGCAGGCUGCCCGAGGAUCUGUCACCGCGGACGCAGGAGGCUCUCCGCUCGGCGCUCAGAGUCCAGGGCCGCGCCGGUGCAGGCGUUGGGAGAGGAGGAUGCUCACCUCCGCCCGCAGAGCGUCUGCGGGCCCUGACACUGCGCGGACUCCGGCUCCCGCGGCAGCCCCUGUUGUGCCCGCGCCGCGGGAGCGCGCCCUGUCGUACCUGCCUCCAGCCUCUCCGGGAAGUGCAGGAAACGCGCCCUAAACUCCACUACUUCUCGCCCGCCUCCUCCCCUUCUCGGCUCCCCGCCCCGGACCUCGCAGCCGCCGGCGUGUAG